AACACUGUUAACCUGCGGUACCUGCGGAAGGAUCAUUACACAAUACAAUAUGAAGGCUGUCCGCAGCUGGAGUAUUUUAUUACCCUUGUCUUUUGCGCACUUGUUGUUUCCUGGGCGGGUUCGCUCGCCACCAGGACCACCAAAUAAACCUUUUUUAUGCAGUUGCAAUCAGCGUCAGUACAAACAAUGUAAAUCAUUUACAACUUUUAACAACGGAUCU
rnacentral:misc_RNA from 1 species